rnacentral:rRNA from 1 species
UACGUAGGGUGCAAGCGUUGUCCGGAAUUAUUGGGCGUAAAGAGCUUGUAGGCGGUUUGUCGCGUCUGCUGUGAAAUUUCGGGGCUCAACCCCGAACUUGCAGUGGGUACGGGCAGACUAGAGUGUGGUAGGGGAGACUGGAAUUCCUGGUGUAGCGGUGAAAUGCGCAGAUAUCAGGAGGAACACCGGUGGCGAAGGCGGGUCUCUGGGCCGUAACUGACGCUGAGGAGCGAAAGCGUGGGGAGCGAACAGG